AUUUUAUGCACGUUGAUUGGACAACCUACAUAUUUACAGAUUUUGCGCGAUGUUGAUAGUCGCUGAGACACGGAUGUGGGUCGUAUUUCUUCCCAAAUUACUCAUCGCCGUGCCAACUGAUAUCCUUCGUGUGUUCACUAACUAGUGUGAUUUCCAAGUGACCUGGGAAAGUGGGAAGGAGUUUGUCCCAUGCAGCCACCAUUUGAGCUUGAAUGUCAAAGGUCAAUGUCAUCCCUGGAUAGUUGAUAUGGAUGGGAUGUUUACUCCUAAGCAAUUCAUCCAUAAUGCACAGACAACUGUAAUGUAAAGCCAAGGUACGGUGUGAUUUGAGACUGAACAAGUAAACACAGCGUUGGGACAUUGUCUGCAGCAUUGUGCAUGGUAAACAAGCAAGGACAAAGUCUGCCUAAUACAGUCAUUAUGGGUCUCCGUUUGCUUGUGUGUCGAACCUUGAAACAGCCUUAGAUUUAGAAAUUGGAACCUAAAGUCAAUUUCCCUGGAUGUCCCUUGGACAUCACUUGGACAUCGCUGAUUAUUUCUGUAGAUGAACAUUUUUGACAAGGCCAUAUAUUUUACACGUGGGGAUAGUUGUUUUUAAACAAUCCCUGUGCCUUGUAAUAAUAUAUUAUCAUCAGCAAAGUGCCUCAGUAAUCGACAUUGAACCUUCGAUGCCCGUAAUCCAUCAAGUGAAUAACUAAACUGAAGGUCAGCCUUUGUUUGGCCAACGUUGACCGUUCCCCUGCGGAGCAGCUGAGCAGUGUUAAUGGUCAGCAGAGCCUUGGAACUUGGCAGCAUAUUGCCGCAGUGGAAAGACUGUCAUUAAGAUUCAACGUGUGUCGUCAACAAAUGUGCCAAUCCGUGAGAUGCCCUGUGUGCUUGAUACAUGUCUAUGAAUGGUUCAUGGAUUGUCUGUGUAUGUGAGUCACUGAGCUCUGGGAAUUACUGAAUGUGAAGCUUGCUGCUGCAAAUUCCUGUAAUAAGGAGGAUAUCAAGCUGUGAGAAAAACUCACUACUUAAACAGGUGAACAUUGCCUUGAAUUCUUGCUGUUGUUUACAGUGUCAAGUUCAAAAGGAGGACCUCGCUUGGGUUAACCACAAAGUGGAUUAGGCUCAGAGCAGCAGGUGAAAGCUGUUCUUUGUUAGCAAGCAUUGAUUGUGUACGUUGAACCUAGAGUCAGUAAUGCGGCCCGUUUUAUGUGGAGCAACCAAUACAGUGGACUCUAACACUCCUAGACAGGGGUUAGAGUCCACUGAAGACGGCACCAUGCAGAAGAUUCUUCGGUCACCGGUGACCAUGAAGAAGAAACUCAACAGUAAGACGUUUGGUGUCCCGUUGAAAGAGCUAUCAAGAGGUCCAAAGGGAGUCAGGGUACCAGUCUUCAUCAGGAAGAUAUGUGACUUCAUUCAAAUGCAUGGUAUUGGGCACGAGGGAAUCUUUCGCAUCAACGGUAGCACCAGAGUGGUGGAGAAGAUGAAAGCGGUGAUUGAUAAGAUGGGUGAUGUAGAUCUUGAGGAGGCAGGAGACGUGAUGGCCGUGGCUAGUCUUCUCAAACUAUUCCUGAGGGAAUUACCGGAUCCUGUCAUGACUGAGACGCUUCAUCACAAGUUCAUUAAUACUCAAUUGGCCAGCCAAUCCAAUCCAGAUGACUGUAUCCAGCAGCUCAAGACUCUCCUACAAGAUCUACCAGAGGAACAUUACAUCGUCUUACGCUAUCUGAUCAGAUUCCUAGUCAUGGUGUCACAGUAUGAAGCCACUAACAAGAUGAACUCUAAUGCAUUGGCUAUUGUCUUUGGCCCAAAUCUCUUCAGGUGUAGUUUAGGUUUGGAUGGCUUACGAGAGCAAGGCAUCACCAACAACAUUGUAAGGUUAUUAAUAGAUGAAUACGACACCAUCUUCAAGUCGGAUGAGAAGGAUGAGGUAUCCCCGCCUCCUGCUCCGACGUCAGGGUCAAAGUGCAUCCAGGUUCAGGCGACAAACUCAAAGAGGUCACCGCCAGUCAAACCGGUGCCUUAUCAGGAUUACAUCAGACAGAAAGAUGCAAAAAAAUUCUUGUCUUGGUCACAGAAGAAAGGGCUGGAAGACCUUCGUGAUGUCAACAGUAAUUCCUUGACGGAUACCAACAGGGAAGAACUGAAGAAAGCUGACGAUGUUAGAGAUUGUGAGUCACCAGCCGGUGGGCUGCUCAGUCCCAGGGAUGUGAGUGGCUUUGAAGAGAGGGCUUUCUCACCCUUCAACUUGGACAGUGAGACGGGAACUAGCACAGCGCCCUCGCCUGUCAUCAAUGACCUCACAUCUGAACUGGUUGAGAAGACCAUUCAGGAGACAGUAUCGCAGCAUCUGUUUGGUCAGAGCCCCUCACUGGAUAGAGAUGAAAGCCUUACUUCACCAUCUCCAGAAGUACCAGUGCCUUCACCACGGCGAAGAUGGCAGAAAAAACAUGAAUCAGAAACAGAAAGCAAAGACAUCGAUAAUGGCGUUGAUUCCCCUGACGGACAGAGUACAUCCUCCGUUGAGGAGAUUUACCCAACAGUCCGAGAUCGCAUCCGGUCGUUUUCGUCCUCAGCACCAGACAACAAAUCACCCGAGAGCUCACCCAAGGUGAAAAGGAAACACCAGCCCUCGUCCAGAGCGUUUGACAUGUUUGAAACUCAGGGAAUAGUUAUUGGUCCCGCGCCGGGUGAAUCUCCCGUGACCAAAAAGAAACAGCCUACCGCCUCUGCAAUUCCUGUCAUCGUUGAAGACCCGAAGCGGGACCGAACAAACAGUCGCAGUCCACCAUCGCGGAGAAAAGCCCCAGAACCACCUUCCAGACCAUCGCGGGGCAAAUCCUACCUGCUCAAAUCCAAAGGUCAUGAGCAGAGGUCACAGGAAUCUGGGUCACCGGGGUCAGGGUCACCAAAGUCAAAGUCGCCAAGGUCAAAUUCCCCAAGGUCAAAUUCACCAAGAUCCAACUCACCAAGGUCCACUUCAUCGCGAUCAAAUUCUCCCAAAACGUAUUCAACCAAGUCAGAUUCACCCAAGUCAAGAUCACCGCGGUCAAAAUCUCCAAAGUCACAAUCACCAAAGCCAAUAUCAUUACGCAAUAGUAGAUUGUCCAGCAAGGACAAGCCCUCUCAUCAGCCAGUGAGUGACCCUCUAGUCACAGGAAUCCAUGCUGAUUUUGACAGUCUGUCUUGCAACUCUCCAACUCUUAAAUCGUUAACAGCUGGAAGAGUAGCGCCUCCCAAAAAUAGACGGUCACCCUCAAAAAGGAAAAGCAGGACGCCGGAACCAGAGUCUGUAUUGAGACCUGAGGAAGGAAGUCGACCAUUCACGGAGCAACUAUCCAUCAUCAUACCGGGUACCGAACCCCCAGGGGAGGGUAUAGACACACCCCAGGACACACCCCAGCCCAAACCACGCAAGAAACACUUCAACGGUGAGCCUGCCAUGUUAGGGGUGGAGCCAAGCCAGGGUGUAUCUGGGGGGUUGGAGGCUUUGAUGAACGGAGGAAAGGACGUAGCGAAGUCACCCCCGAGAUCACCGCAACGACGCGAGCACACUGUCCCACCGCUAAACUUGACCAGCUUGCAUGAACACACAGAUGGUGAAGAGCCCAUUCCAGCGUGGAAGUCAAGACAUUUCCAAGAUGGCAACCAAGAAGCUAUGCUAUCACCGCGCUCACUCAAACUACAAACCAUCACACAUCUGGCUGGCCAUCAGGAAGCCCCACCCUCUCCCAGAGCCCGAGAUAUUCCAUUCAGCUUCAACAGUGUGUCACAUGACACGGACGUACCACCGUCCCCUCCUUCAGCUCAGCCGAUACUGACCUGUGUCUCCAAGAGAGCUGAUAAACAUCCUGAAGAGAAUGACAUGACUAGUGUCAAGCAACUUACUAAGCAGAUCCGAACCCUGAAGCGGAAGAUACGACAGUAUGAAGAGGAGUUUGAAGAUGAACAUGGGUACAAGCCAUCUCACAUUCACAAGACUUCCCAACCGCAAAUCAAGAAGAUGAUGGGAGAUUUGAAACGGGCAAACAAGCAACUUAAAGAAGCUAAAGAGAAUGCAGCGAAAGCCAAGGUUCCAUUGUCAAACACCCUACCGGCGAAGAUGGUGGGCCGGAACCUGAAAAAACAGUUUGAAGAAGCUACAGUCAUGACCAACAUGGAGAUUGCUCUUGAGGAGACGGAAACCAGACUACAAGAGAAAAGAGAUGAGGCUAACAGACCUGAGGAUAUAAAUAAUAUGAACAAAGAGGAAGUGCAAGAAGAGAAAACAGCAAUACAGAAGGCCUUGCUACAAAUGGAGAAUAAGUUUGGAAGACCCAGUACCAAAGAAACUAAAGAGUUGAUGAAGCCGCUAUACGACCGCUACAGGAAUGUCAAGAAACUCCUUGUCAGGCUGGAAUUGCGGCAACCUGAGGAUGGACAACCCUCAUCGCUGGACCUACAAACGAUCAAAGAAAACGAAGAAACAAAAGAAUUCCAACCAAAACAGAUGGGCCAGGUUCACAAUUUUUACUCCGAAAUGGGCGAGGCAGAAGAGGAAGAAAUGCAGACGACAGAUUUCACAGUCACUCAAGACAUGAGGGGAAUCCUGAGCAAUGUAGAUCUGGAAGAUAGUUACCCUAGUCCUGCUGAUAGUAGGCGGAGUAGCAGCGGAGGAAGGGAGGAGCCAACACCGAUACCGGAGGCAGCGUCCAAUCUACACGAGGCGUCAUUAAGUGAACUCUUAGCUAUGCAGAACCAAUCCAAGGAAGACAAGAAGCGAUUGCGGAAAGUCCUCAAGGAAUUUGAGGAUAACUUCUUGAAGGAGUCUGGGCGCAGUGUGCAGAAGGAAGACAGGGUUCCCAUGGAAACACAGUAUAAUGAAUACAAGCAAGUCAAGUCUAAGCUAAGGCUUCUAGAAGCCUUAUUGGCCAAGCGCAUUGAGUACACGUAGUGAUCGUGGUGUAAAGUGACUGUCUUUGUAGUUUUCCAGUUCUUUGCUUCUUGUGCAUGUCAAGAAGCACCUGAAGUUACUAGAAGCAUUGGUUGCCAAGCACCGAACCCAAGCCUCUGACCCACCAGAACAGCUGAUCCUUGCUGAUUUAUGAUAGGCUCCGAGUGUAUAAACUACAACAUUUGGCCUGAAUACAGUGCCGCGUAUAAUCCCUGCGUGGAGCUUAUAUAGCAAAGCGCCUCUUGCCUUGUACAUACUGCAACAAAUACCACAAACAGCUCCACAUUUUAUGAUCAUUGAAGCCGUCUUGCAGCGUGUGGCUUAUCAAUGGAAGAUGAUGUCUUGUACCUAGACUCGUAUCCAUGCUACACAUUAGGCUGAUGUCACCAUCCUUGCUCUCCAGUCUGGUUCUGGCAGUCAUGUAUUGACAGAUGAAUUACAUGUACUUGUUGGCUACGGCUAGAAAUGACACACGCACCUAUGGAAGCGGCUGUGGCUACUUCCCAUAGACGUGUGUGUUAUUUCCAGUCAUAGCCAUGUAAUUCAGAUGCGGCUAGAUACAGCCCAUAUCAGCUCUGUGCAUGACGGGGCCCUCUACUGCUGAAGUACAGAGAACAGUGCUCAAAGUGGGGAAGUGAAAGCUGUUUCCUGUCAUUCAAAACUGGAUGAAUGUUUGAUACAGUACACUAUCCUUGUGUUGUGCGUGUAGUGCAAAAUAAUCUCUACUGUUGACACCAACUGCAUGACACCAACAGCAUGACACCAACUGCAUGACACCAACUGCAUGAUAUGAAUUAUCAUGAAGGGUUUGGUAAUGGCUUCACAAAAUCAGAACAGUACCUUAAUGUUACAGGGACAGUACAGUGUUGUGAUACUGUGAUUAAUAUUGCCUUUGUUAUGCUCAGGAAUUCUCCUACGCACCCCCCCCCCCCCCAUUCCUAGAACGUCAGUGUUUAUUUAGACUGUGAGUUAUGCAACAUUUAGUGAAGUCACAUCAUGCAAUAUGUGUACAAAAUAUCCCCAUAGUUACGCAAAAAGUACGAUAUUAGUAUCUCCUUGAAACUACCAAAGAUGAAGGUUUGCAGUCUGAUCAUCAUUUUGGCACAAAAGCUUGUGCCUUGAAGUUUUUGUAAAUUUGCUGCAAAAUUAUGAAAAAUAUCCUGGCAUUACAUGUGCGUCAUGAUAUACAUGUACGUACUAAAGACUUAAAGUACUAGAGAAGUUAGUACUGUAAGGUACAUGUUCAUGAAUGAAGUACUGCAAAUUUGAAGUACUAAAGUAUUAAACCAUAGUUAAUGUACUUGUUGGUCUCGCGAGUAAUUGGGAGAUAAGAUUAAACUGUUUAAUUGUUAAAAUAAGGCAACGUAAAAGUGACAGAAAUUCUGUCACAGAAAAAGAAGUGCUUUUCAGAAAGGAGAUUUAUAAUGGUUAUUGUGGAAUUGUGUGUUAAAAAUGUGUGAUGUGCCAUUACGAGUGAGUUAUUGAGGGCAGUCCUGAGAUUUUAUAGGAAAGCGCCCUCUAUUGUUAGAAUUUGUCUAGUUUGUGUUUAAAGAAGUUUAUCGAGGCGAUUCGAAUGAUGAAGACGGAAUAGACACUGCCACAUGAAGUGCAAAGAACAGACGAUGUUUAUAAUCCAAGUUCAUGUUUAACCAAGUAUAAAGGAAAGUACUUUGUAUAUAAAAAGGAAAUUUUUAUGAAGAAGUUUCAUCUCAUAAGAAGUUGAACUGUACAAAUAAGAACUUUGUUGUAAAGAACAAAACAUGAACAAACUGAAUGUGGUUUUGUAAAAUGUAAUGUUGGUACUUAAUUCUUGUAGUACUGGAAGUGUAUUGGUGAAGACUUGUACAAGUAUAUGGCUUUGCCAGCCUAUUUGUUUUUUUUAUGCUGUCGGCAGUUUUGUUUGCCAAAAGAUGGAACACAUAUUUUCCAGGUUAUUUUCCUAGUUUGCAGUAACCCACAAAAAGCAAUUUUGCUAUAUUCCUACUCAAAAAUUUAUCAACGUAAGUUUGAUUUCAACAUAGUAGCUGUUUUAUAAAGGCAAUCCCAAAAGAUUUAAAUUUCUUUGCUAUAAAUUCUUUGCUAGACACGGAGCAAGUUUUCAUGGAGUGGAUUUUGGAUCAUUUCCAGGAUGUCUGGAGUUGUAAUUCACAAACCUUGGACAACAUGACUUGCCUUGGGCUGCCUUGGGCACAGGAAGUACACUGUCUGCUUAUCUCUCCCGUUAGUGUUUAGUUUGGUCCCAAAAAUGACUUGUGGAGUCUAUGUCCUCCUUAUUUAAAGGUCAACCAUCUGGAAAAAUCAUUACUUUGGUUUCAGUGACACCCUUGGCAGGAUAUUCUUGUCGUUAAUGCCGUGUACUGUCACUGUUCAGCUAGAUCACCCAAAGAUACUACCCCUGGAUAAAUGUAUGACAAAGUAAUGAAUCCAGUCAUAUGCCACAUUUUAUUGUUCUAACAGUACUUCAGGAACUGUAGACAGAAGACAAUAGGUACAUGAAGGUUUAGCAAGGUGAUUUAAUCCAUUGUCAUUUAUGAAAUUCUGGGUGUGGCAGUUGCACUGCAUCAAGUGACAUUGUCAGUCCACAUGACAGUGGCUGUGACUUCAAACACUAAGCUCCAUUGCCCAGAUUAAGCCAUAGCUCCAGCAUCCAUGGCCCUUCUGAAAGCCACAGCGUGAAGAUGUUGCCAUGUUGGUGUUUAUGAAUCACUGGGUUCAGGUUCACGCUCAAAGUCACUUGAGAAUCUUUGUCAGAAAUAUACUGUGUGUAGUGUCAUUUGUAAAAAAAAAAUUGUGAAAAGUUAUAUUAAAAAAAAGAUUUUUGUUGUCCAUUGGGUCAUGUGCAUUAAUUGUAUACAUGUAAGAUAUUUAGGCUUUCAUCCCUUUGUGAGCAAGUCUCGUUAAAAAUUAUGUAAAUAGUUUUCUUUGUCACACUGAAGUGAAGUGUUUGUUGUAGCUUUUGAUGCAUCUUGAAGUCAAAUGUUUGUUGACUUUUUGUUUUGUGCAUUUGGUGAGAUUAUAACAACCAAUGUAAGUGGACGGAAUUAGGAGAAGGCAACUUUUGCCGUUUGUCUAUUUUUCAAUAAAAUGAAGCAGAAGAACCAAAGACAUAA
rnacentral:misc_RNA from 1 species